AGAGUUUGAUCCUGGCUCAGAACGAACGCUGGCGGCAGGCCUUAUACAUGCAAGUCGAGCGCAUCCUUCGGGAUGAGCGGCGGACGGGUGAGUAACGCGUGGGAAUGUGCCCUUCUCUACGGAAUAGCCACUGGAAACGGUGAGUAAUACCGUAUACGCCCUCAGGGGGAAAGAUUUAUCGGAGAAGGAUCAGCCCGCGUUAGAUUAGGUAGUUGGUGGGGUAACGGCCUACCAAGCCUACGAUCUAUAGCUGGUUUUGGAGGAUGAUCAGCCACACUGGGACUGAGACACGGCCCAGACUCCUACGGGAGGCAGCAGUAGGGAAUCUUGGACAAUGGGGGCAACCCUGAUCCAGCCAUGCCGCGUGAGUGAAGAAGGCCCUAGGGUCGUAAAGCUCUUUCGCCUGUGAUGAUAAUGACAGUAGCAGGUAAAGAAACCCCGGCUAACUCCGUGCCAGCAGCCGCGGUAAUACGGAGGGGGUUAGCGUUGUUCGGAAUUACUGGGCGUAAAGCGCGCGUAGGCGGAUUGGAAAGUUGGGGGUGAAAUCCUGAGGCUCAACCUCGGAACUGCCUCCAAAACUGCUAGUCUAGAGUUCGAGAGAGGUGAGUGGAAUUCCGAGUGUAGAGGUGAAAUUCGUAGAUAUUCGGAGGAACACCAGUGGCGAAGGCGGCUCACUGGCUCGAUACUGACGCUGAGGUGCGAAAGUGUGGGGAGCAAACAGGAUUAGAUACCCUGGUAGUCCACACCGUAAACGAUGAAUGCCAGUCGUCGGGUAGUAUACUAUUCGGUGACACACCUAACGGAUUAAGCAUUCCGCCUGGGGAGUACGGUCGCAAGAUUAAAACUCAAAGGAAUUGACGG
rnacentral:rRNA from 1 species